AUUGAACGCUGGCGGAAUGCUUUACACAUGCAAGUCGAACGGCAGCACGGGGCAACCUGGUGGCGAGUGGCGAACGGGUGAGUAAUACAUCGGAACGUGCCCAAUCGUGGGGGAUAACGUAGCGAAAGUUACGCUAAUACCGCAUACGAUCUACGGAUGAAAGCGGGGGAUCGCAAGACCUCGCGCGAAUGGAGCGGCCGAUGUCAGAUUAGGUAGUUGGUGGGGUAAAGGCUCACCAAGCCGACGAUCUGUAGCUGGUCUGAGAGGACGACCAGCCACACUGGGACUGAGACACGGCCCAGACUCCUACGGGAGGCAGCAGUGGGGAAUUUUGGACAAUGGGCGCAAGCCUGAUCCAGCCAUUCCGCGUGCAGGAUGAAGGCCUUCGGUUGUAAACUGCUUUGUACGGUAACGAAACGGUGAGCUCUAAUACAG
rnacentral:rRNA from 1 species